rnacentral:lncRNA from 1 species
UUUGUAAAGGACUCGAUUCGGCUGGUUAAAAGAUGCACCAAACCUGAUAGAAAAGAAUUCCAGAAGAUCGCCAUGGCCACAGAGAUUGGAUUCGCUAUCAUAGGGCUCAUCGGCUUCUUUGUGAAACUGAUCCACAUCCCUAUUAAUAACAUUAUUGUGGGUGGCUGAGUCCUUGCUCAUCGUGGGACUGGUGAACCAAUGAGGGG